rnacentral:rRNA from 1 species
CUGACGCUGAGGAGCGAAAGCGUGGGGAGCGAACAGGAUUAGAUACCCUGGUAGUCCACGCCGUAAACGUUGGGAACUAGGUGUGGGUCACAUUCCACGUGGUCCGUGCCGCAGCUAACGCAUUAAGGUCCCCGCCUGGGGAGUACGGCCGCAAGGCUAAAACUCAAAGGAAUUGACGGGGGCCCGCACAAGCGGCGGAGCAUGUGGCUUAAUUC